rnacentral:Y_RNA from 1 species
AUCGCGAAUGCUUGACGAAACUACACCUAUCACGUGCCAGGUCGUGGGUUCGAAUCCCACCCGUCGCAGGACGGUAGCUCAGAGGAUAGAGCGGGAAAACGUUUCGUCGUCUUUAGUCGCGAUAUA